UACCCCUUCAACUACUUUGUAAUCAUCAAAAUCAAUCUAAGGAGCAACAAUCUUUCCCUUUUUGAUGAUGACAAAAUACUUGAACAAAAGUAUCUAUGUGAAUCAUGAAUUUUAAAAGAAUGCAUUAUAAGUAGUUUGAAGAUAAAAAGAAGAUUUAUUACCAACUUAUAAGUGCAUUUGCUUGAGAAGAAGAUUGAUUCUUUU
rnacentral:lncRNA from 1 species